UACGGGGGGGGGCAAGCGUUGUUCGGAAUUACUGGGCGUAAAGGGCGCGUAGGCGGCCUGUGAAGUCGAACGUGAAAUCCCCGGGCUCAACCCGGGAACUGCGUCCGAUACUGGCAGGCUUGAAUCCGGGAGAGGGAUGCGGAAUUCCAGGUGUAGCGGUGAAAUGCGUAGAUAUCUGGAGGAACACCGGUGGCGAAGGCGGCAUCCUGGACCGGCAUUGACGCUGAGGCGCGAAAGCCAGGGGAGCAAACGGG
rnacentral:rRNA from 1 species